CAGGGCAUUCCUGAUAUCACUUCUUUUCAUUUCAUUGUGACAACUGCGGACUCUAAGAUCCAAGUGUAUCAGUAACACGUAUUCAUUUAUUGUUUCUAUGUGGUAUGAGAAGAAACAGAAGUCUCAUCUUCUUAGCUUGCUCCAUGAUACAAAAUCUUCACACCAGCAACUCCUCACCCAUGAACACAGACCAUGUUGAAAAUCUGUCUGGCCAGUUUAUCUAGAAUAAAUGAAGACACAGUAUGUGGUCCACAAAUGAGAAACUCUGCUCAAGGGUGUUAAGUGAGCUUUCCUGUGCACUCGACCAGAUAAUGCUGCCAGGGUUUCUGUACGUGACAUCAAGAUUGGAAGCCCUGAAGCUGGAGUCUUGGACAUGUCAGUGUCCCAUCUGGGAGAGGGUGAUCUCUUACAGCACACUUCCUCUUCCAACCUCCUUACCAAGACAUUCAUCACCACAUGCAUUCUUGACAUCCCACCCCCUCCAAGAAGCUGCAUGUAAGUAAUCAGAGACUCACUAAGGGGGGACUUGUAUCAGCCUGAGGAAAGAGAACAUGCUGGUUGGUGGUGGCAGAGGUGAAUUCAUUAUUGUCUAGGAAAGACAUGAAGAAAGUGGGACCUUUUUUCCUUUCUCCUAAAGUAAGAAAGGAUUCAAAAUUUGGAGGAAGGAGGAGUUAAGACUAGGGACAUAAACAGUCUAUAUCCAGGAACAGUAAAGGACCUGUGGCCUUAGCUUGGGGAGGGGCUUUCUUUGGGAUUUUUUGAUCUUUGCUGACUCCCUUGGCUCUGAAGUGGGUGUGGAAGAGCUUUGUCUUAGGGACACCUUUGUCACUGGUGCAAAAAGUGUAGGGAGCCCCCUGCUUUUGACUUGCUCUAGGGAGAAAAUGAAAGGACCUUUAAUAUCUCGCUUUGCCUCCUCUGGUCUAGUGAUGAACUGAGGAAAGGCAGCCUGAGUCCAAGGACAACUUUGUGACCCCUGAGGAAACCUAGGGUGUUUUUGGUACUUGAGGAUGGUAGAUAUUUGGAAGAGGGUAAGAAACUAAAACACUCUCUUUUAUUAAUGUCUCCACUGGGGUCAAAUGUUGUGAUAGACUGAGUUGCUUAAUGAGGUUAUACAUUCUACUAAGAAAUUAUUCAGACAUUAUUGAGAAGGGCAUUUAAAUAUUCACUAUAAUUAGAUAUUGCAGAGCCAAGGGUCUAAAAACUCCCUGAAUUUAUUUUUCUUGAAUAACAUAGUUUUCCUAAAUCAUAAAGAUGGUUGAGUACUGAAUGAAGUUCUGGGUAUAUCAAAGUAAAAACUAAACUGUUCAACCAAAAUAACAUGACUCUAAUAAAAAGUAUAUUAGAAAACA
rnacentral:lncRNA from 1 species